AUAUAUAUCGUAUAAUAUACCUAUAGAAAAGUUAUGCCGGUGGUUAUCCAAAAAGGUGAUGGUGCCUAUGAAAAUAGGUACUGAAAUCGAUGAAAGGAGAAGCCUGUUAUCCGCAUUUGAAACAAUCCAGACAAUCUUAGGAUUUGGUAUGUUUAUCAUCGCUUUGGUUGGCCUAGU
rfam:Melissococcus plutonius ATCC 35311 plasmid pMP1 DNA, complete genome.